UACGUAGGGUGCAAGCGUUGUCCGGAAUUAUUGGGCGUAAAGAGCUCGUAGGCGGUCUGUCGCGUCUGCUGUGAAAACUCAGGGCUUAACCCUGAGCUUGCAGUGGGUACGGGCAGACUAGAGUGCGGUAGGGGAGACUGGAAUUCCUGGUGUAGCGGUGAAAUGCGCAGAUAUCAGGAGGAACACCGGUGGCGAAGGCGGGUCUCUGGGCCGUAACUGACGCUGGAGGAGCGGAAAGCUAGGGGGAGCAAACGGG
rnacentral:rRNA from 1 species